rnacentral:rRNA from 1 species
GACGAACGCUGGCGGCGUGCUUAACACAUGCAAGUCGAACGGAAAGGCGCUGCGGUAGUGUGCUGCUCGAAUGCCGAACGUGUGAGUGACACGUGGGUAAUAUGCCGUUGACUUUGGGCUACCUUCAGGGGACUAAGGCUAAGACCGGAUAGGAGCUCCUGCUGCAUGGUAGGGGUUGGAAAGUUUCGGCGGUUGGGGAUGGACUCGCGGCUUAUGAGCUUGUUGGUGGGGUAGUGGAUUACCAAGGCAUUGCCGGGUAGCCGGCCCGAGCGGGUGGCCGGCCAGACUGGGUCUGAGAUACGGCCCAGACUCCUACGGGAGGCAGCAGUGGGGAAGAGUGCACAAUGGGCGGAAGCCUGAUGCAGCAACGCCGCGUGCGGGAUGAGGGCAUGCGGGUUGUAAACCGCUUCCGCCUGUGACGAAGAGUGAGUGACGGUAAUGGGUAAAGAAGCACCGGCUAACUACGUG